CAGUUCUUCACGUGUUUUCUUCCGUGAUUAAGAUCUCUGAGGGACUUCAGAGCUAAAGGAAGAGCAGACAGAGACAAUCAGUGGUGGAAGUCCUCCCUCUCAGUAGUGGAAAUCCUCCUUCUCAGUGGAAAAGAAAAGCAGCUAUGUACACUCUUGGCUCCUGAAAGAUCCCAUGCAGAGAGAGACCCUUACUCAAGUCUUGGGAAUCGUGGACCCCAGACACAGAGAGACCAUUUUGGAUGUAAUACACAAAGGCGAGGUUUAUUACGGAGAUCUAUUAUGGAGAUCUCCGGGCCGACACGUAUCUCACGCAGGAGACAGAGGAGAGUCAACUACAGCUCAAGAGUGAACUCUUUGAAAAGAGAAGAAGGCAUGAGAAAGAGAUUUGGUAUAUAAAGGCUGAAAACAGAGAAAUAAUCUUGAAAUAUAUUAGACUUUAAACUUGUACAAUCAAUAUGCCCCCACAAUGUCACCAAGACUCAAGAACAACCAGCAACUCCUAUAGAGCAAUCAGUAGCAAUGAACAUGAACUUAUCACUUUUGCACAUACACUGGCCCAUUGGGAUCGCAAGAAUGAAGAUAGUGUAUAAAGGACAAGAGUUGCUACUAAGGCAAUUUCUUUGAUGCUCAUUAUGAAGUUUGUGGCUUCUCCUCUAGUUUUUACCACUAUAGGUUUUAAGGAUGGCUAAAUGCAUACAAUAUGUAAAUCACUUACAUUUGCUCUAGAGUAAAUAUAAAUUUUAUAAUAAUAGAUAUUUAAAAUAGGGAGCUAUUAUGUAGUCUGAUUUAGGUACAAGUUUCUUUCCUCUUUCAUAUAAUACAUUAUUUUUUAUUUUCUUUAUUGGCUAUACUCUACAUUUCAAAUGUUAUUCCCUUUCCCAGUUUCCUGUCCAUAAGCCCCCUAUCCCAUCCCUCUCGCCUUCUUCUAUAUGUGUGUUCCUAUUUUGUGGAAUAGUUUGGAUAGUAUUGGUAUGAAGUUUUCUAUGAAGGUAUGAUAGAAUUCUGCACUAAACUCAUCUGGUUCUUGUCUCUUUUUGGUUGGGAGACUUUUAAUAACUGCUUCUAUUUCUUUAGUAGUUGUGUGGUUGUUUAGAUGGUUUAUCUGUUCCUCAUUUAACUUUGGUAACUUUAUUUGUCUAGAAAAUUGUCCAUAUCCAGAUUUUCCAGUUUUGUUGAAUAUAUGCUUUGUAGUAGGAUCUGAUGAUUUUUUGAAUUUCCUUAGAUUCUGUUUUUAUGUCUCCCUUAUCAUUUCUGAUUUUGUUAAUUUGGAUAUACUCUCUGUGCCCUCUGGUUAGUCUGGCUAAGGGUUUAUCUAUCUUAUUGAUUUUCUCAAAGAACCAGCUUUUGGUUUUGUUGAUUCUUUGUAUAGUCCUUUUUGUUUCUACCUGGUUGAUUUCAGCCCUGAGUUUGAUUAUGUCCUGCCUUCUACUCCUCUUGGGUGUAUUUACUUCUAGUUGUGCUGUCAAGCUGCUAAUUUAUGCUGUCUCCUGUUUCUAUUUGCAGGUACUCAGAGCUAUGAGCAUUCUUCUUAGCACUGCUUUCAUUGUGUCCCAAAAGUUGGGGUAUGUUGUGCCUUCAUUUUCAUUAAAUUCUAAAAAAUCUUUAAUUUCUUUUUUUAUUUCUUCCUUGACCAAGAUACCGUUGAGUAGAGCAUUGUUAAACUUCCAUAUAUAUGUGGGCUUUCUUUCAUUUUUGUUGUUAUUGAAGAUCAACCUUAGUUUGUAGCAAUCUGGUAGGAUGCAUGUAAUUAUUUCUAUCUUCCUGUAUCUGUUGAGAUCUGUUUUGUGUCUGAUUAUAUGAUCAAUUCUGGAAAAGGUACUAUGAGGUGCUGACAAGAAGGUAUACUUUUUUCUUCUAGAAUGACAAGUUCUAUAAACAUCUGUUAAAUCCAUUUGGUUCAUAACUUCUGUUAGUUUCUCUAUGUCUCUGUUUAAUUUCUGUUUCCAUGAUCUGUCUAUUGUUGAGAGUCAGGUGUUGAAAUCUCCUACUAUUAUCGUGCGAGGUGAAAUGUGUACUUUGAGCUUCAGUAAGGUUUCUUUUUUGAAUGUAGGUGCCCUUGCAUUUGGAGCAUAGAUAUUUAAGAUCAAGAGUUCAUUUUGAUGCAUUUUUGCUUUGAUGAAUAUGAAGUGUACUUUGAUCUUUUUUGAUGACUUUAUUCAAUAUUAGAAAGGUUACUCCAGCUUGUUUCUUCAGACCAUUUGCUUGGAAAAUUUAUUUACAGCCUCUUACUCUGAGGUAGUGUCUGUUUUUGUCUCAGAGGUGUGUUUUCUGUAUGCAGGAAAAUGCUGGGUCCUCCUCACAUAUCUAUGCCCUUUUAUUGUGGAAUUGAUUCCAUUGAUGUUAAGAGAUAUUAAGGAAUAUUUUCCUGUUCUUUUUGUUGUUAAAGGUGGAAUUACGUUUUGUGUCUCUUUUCUUUUGGCUUCAUUGUAACAAGAUUACCUUCUUGCUUUUUUCUAGGGUGUAGUUUCCCUCCUUGUGUUGGACUUUUCCGUCCAUUAUCAUUUGUAGGGCUGGAUUUGUAGAAAGCUAUUUUGUAAAUUUGGCUUUGUCAUGAAUAUCUUGGUUUUUCCAUUUAUGUUAAUUGAGAGGUUUGCUGGAUAUAGUAGCCUGGGUUGGCAUUUGUGUUCUCUUAGGGUCUGUAUGACAUCUUCCCAGGAUCUUCUGUUUUUCAUAGCCUCUGGUGAGAAGUCUGGUGUAAUUCUCAUGACUUUAAAUGUUAUUUGACAUUUUUCCAUUACUGCUUUCAAUAUUCUUUCUUUGUUUUGUGAAUUUGGUGUUUUGACUAUUAUGUGAUGGAAGGGAUUUCUUUUCUGGUACAAUCUAUUUGGAGUUCUGUAGGCUUCUUGUAUGUUUAUGGGCAUCUCCUUCUUUAGGUUAGGGAAGUUUUCUUUUAUGAUUUUGUUGAAGAUAUUCACUAGCCCUUUAAGGUGGGAGUCUUCACUCUCUUUUAUAUACCUAUUAUCCUUAGGUUUGAUGUUCUCAUUGUGUCCUGGAUUUCCUGGAUGUUUUGGACUAGAAGCUUUUUGUGUUUUACAUUAUCUAUGAUGGUUACAUUGAUGUUUUUUAUGGUAUUUUCUGCACCUGAGAUUCUCUCUUCUAUCUUUUGUUCUGUUGGUGAUGAUGAAUCUAUGACUCCUGAGCUCUUCUGUAGAUUUUCUAUCUCCAGGCUUGUCUCCCUUUGUACUUUCUUUAUUGUUUCUAUUUCCAUUUUAAAAUCCUGGAUGGUUUUGUUCAUUUCCUUCACCUGUUUGGUUGUGUUUUCUUUUAAUUCUUUAAGGAAUUUUUGUGUUUCCUCUUUAAGGGCUUCUACUUGUUUACCCAUACUAUCCCAUGUUUCUUUAAGAGUGUUAUUUAUGUCCUUCCUAAAGCUUUGUAUCAUCACCAUGAGUUCUGAUUUUAAAUCUAAAUCUUGCUUUUCUGAUGUGUUUGGAUAUUCAUUAUUUGCUUUGAUGGGAGAACUGGGCUCUGAUGAUGCCAAGUACUCUUGGUUUCUGUUGCUUAGGUUUCUCGGCCUGCCUCUUUCUAACAGGUUUUCACUGGUGUUAGCUGGUCUUGCUGUCUCUGACAGUGGCUUGACCCUCCUGUAGGCCUCUGUGUCAGCACUCCUGUAGACCUGUUUUCUUUCAGCUGGAUCUGGGAAUAGAGAGCUCUGCUUUUAGGUGUGUAGGUACUCCUGGCGACUGGUUUUCAGCUCUCAACUCAGGCAGAAACCCAAAGGGUCCUGUCCCUCGCUGUUCCUAUAUCCCUGUGCCCAGGGGGCACAGAUUGCACUAGGCAAUUUCCUCUUGAGUCAGGAAUGUGGGUAAAAAGUAACUGUCUUCUCUGGGUCCAAGGAGUGUCCCUACUUCUGAGUGUCCCAUUCUCUCCCCAUGGGAUUUCCACACAGUCUAUCUUGACCCACGUUCUGUUUAAAGAGUUUAAUCACACUGUCAAACCUGGUAUGAAUGACAGGAACAUAGAGAAAAUUAGGUGAAAGAUGAACAAAGGCCCAACUAAGUAUCACUACUAGGGAUUCAGUGAGUAGUGUGUCAGCUAACAUUAAAGGAUGUUGCUUUUUUAAUUUUAAAUUUUGUCUUACAUUAGUUGUUUAAAACAAUGGGUUUUGUCAAAUUGCCUCUUGAAUGCUGUCAUAUGAUUUAGCUUAGAUUCAGUGUAUAGAAGCUGUAUGGUGGUUGAUCAAAAAAAAGGCUUGACUCUUUGAAAAGUGAAUGUGUAGACCUUAAAGGUCCCCUGACAAUGAAGCCUUUCCUUUGUCCUGGCUCAGUUACAUCAUGUUUUCAGACUAUAACAAGAAGAGCAAAGAUGUGUCUUCACUCUUAAAAACCAUAUCUGGAAUAAGAAAAUGUACCAGGGAACUAUGAGCACUUGAGUAGAAAUACUGACCCUGGGAAUUUCCUCCAUUAAGAAACCACAUCAAUAAGCAUUGGAUGGAUGGAGAGAAAAGCUAUACAGUGACUCUUCAUAUUUUUUUGCUUUUUUAAUCUCAGUGCAAUCUGCACAAGCUGAGUUUGCAGAGAACACAAUAAAAAUGUUGAUGGAAUUGAUUGAGUUGAAUCUGAAGACUUUAGGGCAGAAACAAAAGGAUCUUGAUGAUCAUUUGAUACAAUGGGCUGAGCAGAGAAUCAAGGAUAUAGCAAGUCUAAUAGCAGAGCAAGGAAAGAUCUUCAACAGUAAGCCUCAGGUAAUUCAUUGUGACAUCUUCAUUUUCUCAUUCAAUGGCCAGGGAUAAAAGACAUUGAUUAGUAGUUAGUAUACCUGAUCUAGAUAAAGGACUUUUCUGUGUAGACAUUUUUAUCUUUGUAUUGAAGGCAAAGACUCAUUACAAAAAGAUUAUGCUUCCUGAUUCAUGAUUCAUUAUACCACUCAAAAUAUAGAUGCAAAUAACUAAAUUCCCUACACAAAUUAUGUAACCAUUGCUUUGUUAAGUGUUUCCAUUGCUAGGACAAGACACCAUGACCAAGACAACCCUUAUAAAGAACAUUUAAUUGUGGCUGGAUUACAAGUUCAGAGGUUCCACUCACUAUCAUCAAGGUGGGAAGCAUGACAGAAUCCAGGCAGGCAUGGCACUAGAGAGGAACUGAGAAUUCUACAUCUUGUUCUGAAGGCAGUUAGGAGAAGACUGUGUCACAGGCAGCUAGGCAAAGGGUCUCUUCCACACAGGACAGAGCCUGAGUAUAGGACAUCAAAACCUGCCUACAGAGAGAUAGCCUUUCUCCAACAACACUACACAUAUUCCAACAAAUCCAAAGCUCCCAAUAGUGCCAUUUUCAUGAGUCAACCUUAUUCAAACCACAACUACAUUAAAUAUUGCUUCUUUAAGGGCUCCAGAUUCCUCACAUGUGUUUAAUCUCACUGUAUGAAGAAGAGUCUCUCUCUGUAGCUCAAGCCAGAUUUACACCUAAGGUCAUCCCAUUCCAGUACCCCAAAUACAACAUUACAGAUUUACUCUACUGUACCUGUUCUGGUGUCUUCUUUCCUAUUGAUGAAAUUGCCGUUGCCAAAAGAUAGAAAGUGCACUGAGAUCCACUUCCUGGGUGGCCACCUGGCAUAUUUCUCCUAGAUAGUACAUUCCACAAUGGUUUUGGUUUUGUGAUCUCUAUAGCUCUCUAUUCAUGUAAGUAUCCUAAAAAAUAGUUUCACCUACCCAUGACCUUAGCACUGAUUUUAGAUGCUAAAUGUUCUCCUGACUUUUAGUCUGAGUCACAACCUGCACAAUGUGAUAUUCAAAUCACUUGGUUAAAAACUUUUGGAAAAAAUAUUUUUAAAGGCAAAAUUCUGAAUAUGGAGUAAGAGGCUAAAUAUAGGCUAACAGAACAAUGCUAUCACAAAUGUAAACAGUACAUUUCAGAUGGUAGAGCACCAAGACUAGUGAAGCUAUGAGGAGACACAUUGAAAUAACAAUGUGGGCUGAAGAGAUGGCUCAGAAGAUAAAACUGGUUCCUCUUCAAAUGUACAGACAUGAGUUUGAAUCCCAUGUCUAAACAUGAUACAAUAGCAUGGAUUCCUAUGUUUCCAACAGUUC